ACUCCUACGGGAGGCAGCAGUGGGGAAUUUUGGACACUGGGCGAAAGCCUGAUCCAGCAAUGCCGCGUGCAGGAUGAAGGCCUUCGGGUUGUAAACUGCUUUUGUACGGAACGAAAAAGCUCCUUCUAAUACAGGGGGCCCAUGACGGUACCGUAAGAAUAAGCACCGGCUAACUACGUGCCAGCAGCCGCGGUAAUACGUAGGGUGCGAGCGUUAAUCGGAAUUACUGGGCGUAAAGCGUGCGCAGGCGGUUAUGUAAGACAGAUGUGGAAUCCCCGGGCUCAACCUGGGAACUGCAUUUGUGACUGCAUGGCUAGAGUACGGUAGAGGGGGAUGGAAUUCCGCGUGUAGCAGUGAAAUGCGUAGAUAUGCGGAGGAACACCGAUGGCGAAGGCAAUCCCCUGGACCUGUACUGACGCUCAUGCACGAAAGCGUGGGGAGCAAACAGGAUUAGAAACCCGGGUAGUCCC
rnacentral:rRNA from 1 species